AACCACAAUAUUGUGGCCGCAUGUAGUUUUCAUUUUGAAUCACUAUAUUGAACUAAUCAACAAAUGUUUAUGACAUGGCAGUGCCUGUGGAUAACAUUUGACCAAUUGUUCUGUAUAAGUUUUUAAGAAGGGAAUGAUGAAAUCAUUUUUCACCAUUUCCUUCCCAAUUGUUUGAUAAUAGGAAACAAAGGGAGAACAAGAUGGCC
rnacentral:lncRNA from 1 species